UGUGGGGUGGAGCAGUUGGCUAGCUCGCAAGGCUCAUAACCUUGAGGUCGCCAGUUCGAGUCUGGCCCCCACGA
rnacentral:tRNA from 1 species